ensembl:lncRNA
ACACUGAACGAACCUUUGAACAAAUAUGAAUAGUCUCAUCCACACUUCUCCUUUUCCCCACCCAAACCAUCACCUGAAACAGUUUAAUUUUGUAACCAUGUGUUUAUUGUAACCUACUAUUCACAGAGACCAUCUGCAGUCAAUUAUUAUUCCCAAGAGGUCUCCCCUUGGCGUCACUCAUCUCUGUGGGCCUCUCCUCCUUUCUACCCGGAGCUGGUUAGUGCUCAGUCUGUGCAAAAUAACUUUGUAGUAUCUUAAGCAGAAAAGAAAAGUAAUCAUGCUGCAGAGAAUGAUAGACCUGCUUCUAAAACCACGUAUGAACUCAGUGGGGGUGCAUAGGGGAGCUACGCGGUCCGCAGAGUCUGCGUCGUCCAUUAACUCCACCCCCACGCAGGCUCCCGCGGCUCCGCCUCCAUUCCCAAACAUCGCUCACUGCCCUCCUGUUUCUGCCCUCCCGCCUUAGAAAAUCUCUUUAAAUCUUUGAUUUAAAGCAGGCGUCCAUUGCCACGCUCGGACCGCCUCAUGCUAGGUCGCAGUUGUCCCGGUAACAGCGUGUCUGAAGGAAGAGCCGGCUCUCCGGAGUUUCCACGGAAACCACUGGCGGCAGAAGCAGGCAACUUCUUUACUACUGAGCCACCUGGGAAGCCCUAAUGUCUGCAUGAAGAAAAAGUGGUUGAUUCUCCUGGAAUCCCAUAUGAACACAUUCCCCACUGUCAGUCUCUGCCACUAGCCCGGGACCAGCUUCAGAAGAGUGGGAUGUAAGGCGGGGUGCUGUGAGGUUCCUCUGAGGGUCUGACUCACACCACCAUGCAUCCCAGAAUUGUGGUCCAGCAAUUGGCUGUAGACUGUUCUCACAUGUUUGGAGAAGUUUGACUGUCCACGUACCAUUAAGAGUGAAGCUCUAAGACCUUUGAUUGCAGGCUUUGUGUGAUGGGUUUGGUAAUUGGCAGACCUUCUUUGAAGAAUGAUCUGGCAGUGAGCCAAGUUUUUCUUUGAGAGACUCCUAAAGGCAGUGUGGGAAGAAUUUUUCUUUAAUGGGAAUAUUUGGUUUCUUCUAUGACUACAUCUCCUAAGAAUACUUCUGCUUUGGAUAGAUACAAUUAAUUUCCACCAUUCUGAGAGCAAGAAAGAGAAUGGAAUCUGGAAUGCCUAUCAUUCAGUAUACAGACUUGGUUUUAAUCUUCAGCUUUCAGUUUGGUGUGCUCUGACCUCCCAGGAGUUGGUCUGGUAACCUCAAAUUAAAUACUCCUUGUGAAUAAUAAUUUUUUAACUUCUUCCCUAGCCGCAAGACUGGGUGUGUAUAGUGGAAUUAGCCAUAUAAUAAUAUUAAGAAUUUGGACUCUGUAGCCAGAAAGUUUGGGUUCAAAUCUUGGUUCCAAUGGUUACCAGCUAUGUGACCUCACUCAAGUUCCCUAAGUCCUGUAGUUCAUGACUCCAUGCUAAAGGUGAACAGUUCAAUGCCCAGGGAGGAAAAAGAACAUGUUGAAAUUUUAUUUCUCUUUAACCUGAAUUAUUGACUUUAUAUUUUUAAAAUGAUUUCUCUUAUACAACCAAACCAAUGAAAGCACAAAGGAAUACAAUUGCACACAUGAUCUUUCUGCAAAGAUGGUGUGGAGUUUCCCACUGAAGUAAAUCAUUGUUCACAGAAUUUGGCAAAAAGAAAAGGAAAAAGUCUCCAAACAAAUAGCCCAUUGAGAAAUACACCAUGACACGAGGAUGAUGCAAUGGCAAAUUGCAACAUGGGAAGAAGCCCUGAAUGAAAAUUUUGUGUUACAAAAGGAUCAAAAGCAGUCCAACAAAAUGGCAAGGAAACAAUAUUUAUUUUGAAACCUUACUCGUUUUUCAUAUGCAGAAUUUUUAACAAGUCGUUUGUUUCCAGUUCACCACUACACUCCGUACUUAGAAUUAUCAUGGGCAAGUCCUCAGCUGCUGAAUUGCUUUUGCCUCUGGGAAAGGUGUGACUGUGGGCUGCAGAGAACCUGACACGGAGCACAGCAAAAAUGGAAGCAGAGCACCUGCCCCCAGAGAGUGCAGGAGGGCAGAGACGCAGGCAGAUCCUGGCCAAACCCCCUAACACCACAAUCCAAGGAGGAGACAGGCCUGGGGUUCUGUCCCACAAUAAGCCUAGGCUGAGUGCUGAAAGUGGCCCUAAACCCCUCGACCUAGAAUUUCUCUUCUGCAGAUUUUCUGGCUCAGAACCACAGAAAAUAUGAAGGGUUUGAAUGAAAUCUAAAAUAUGAAAUCAUGUACCUUCUAAGGCUCAUUUGCCAAUUUUGUUGUCACUUACUUAAUUUUUGAUUUAUCUAUGGUGAUUAAAAAAACACAAAAAUAUAGUGAGCUGCUGCUGCUGCUAAGGUGCUACAGUCGUGUCCGACUCUGUGCGAC